rnacentral:rRNA from 1 species
UACGGAGGGUGCGAGCGUUGUUCGGAAUUACUGGGCGUAAAGCGCGUGUAGGCGGCCUUGCAAGUCAGGCGUGAAAGCCCUCGGCUUAACCUGGGAACGGCGCUUGUGACUGCACGGCUAGAGUACGGCAGAGGGGGGUGGAAUUCCACGUGUAGCAGUGAAAUGCGUAGAUAUGUGGAGGAACACCGAUGGCGAAGGCAGCCCCCUGGGCCAGUACUGACGCUCAUGCACGAAAGCGUGGGGAGCAAACAGGAUUAGAUACCCCGGUAGU